GAUGAACGCUGGCGGCGUGCCUAAUACAUGCAAGUCGAGCGAACAGACGAGGAGCUUGCUCCUCUGACGUUAGCGGCGGACGGGUGAGUAACACGUGGAUAACCUACCUAUAAGACUGGGAUAACUUCGGGAAACCGGAGCUAAUACCGGAUAAUAUAUUGAACCGCAUGGUUCAAUAGUUAAAGACGGUUUUGCUGUCACUUAUAGAUGGAUCCGCGCCGCAUUAGCUAGUUGGUAAGGUAACGGCUUACCAAGGCAACGAUGCGUAGCCGACCUGAGAGGGUGAUCGGCCACACUGGAACUGAGACACGGUCCAGACUCCUACGGGAGGCAGCAGUAGGGAAUCUUCCGCAAUGGGCGAAAGCCUGACGGAGCAAAGACGCGUGAGUGAUGAAGGUCUUCGGAUCGUAAAACUCUGUUAUUAGGGAAGAACAAAUGUGUAAGUAACUAUGCACGUCUUGACGGUACCUAAUCAGAAAGCCACGGCUAACUACGUG
rnacentral:rRNA from 1 species